rnacentral:rRNA from 1 species
GUGGGGAAUCUUGCGCAAUGGGCGAAAGCCUGACGCAGCCAUGCCGCGUGGAUGAUGAAGGUCUUAGGAUUGUAAAAUCCUUUCACCGGUGAAGAUAAUGACUGUAGCCGGAGAAGAAGCCCCGGCUAACUUCGUGCCAGCAGCCGCGGUAAUACGAAGGGGGCUAGCGUUGCUCGGAAUUACUGGGCGUAAAGGGAGCGUAGGCGGACAUUUAAGUCAGGGGUGAAAUCCCGAGGCUCAACCUCGGAACUGCCUUUGAUACUGGGUGUCUUGAGUGUGAGAGAGGUGAGUGGAACUCCGAGUGUAGAGGUGAAAUUCGUAGAUAUUCGGAAGAACACCAGUGGCGAAGGCGACUCACUGGCUCAUUACUGACGCUGAGGCUCGAAAGCGUGGGGAGCAAACAGGAUUAGAUACCCGGGUAGUAC